rnacentral:rRNA from 1 species
CCUACGGGAGGCAGCAGUGGGGAAUAUUGCACAAUGGGCGAAAGCCUGAUGCAGCAACGCCGCGUGAGCGAUGAAGGCCUUCGGGUCGUAAAGCUCUGUCCUCAAGGAAGAUAAUGACGGUACUUGAGGAGGAAGCCCCGGCUAACUACGUGCCAGCAGCCGCGGUAAUAGGUAGGGGGCUAGCGUUAUCCGGAAUUACUGGGCGUAAAGGGUGCGUAGGUGGUUUUUUAAGUCAGAGGUGAAAGGGUACGGCUCAACCGUAGUAAGCCUUUGAAACUGGGGAACUUGAGUGCAGGAGAGGAGGGUGGAAUUCCUAGUGUAGCGGUGAAAUGCGUAGAUAUUAGGAGGAACACCAGUUGCGAAGGCGGCUCUCUGGACUGUAACUGACACUGAGGCACGAAAGCGUGGGGAGCAAACAGGAUUAGAUACCCGGGUAGUC